rnacentral:rRNA from 1 species
UGAGGAAUAUUUGUCAAUGGACGCAAGUCUGAACCAGCCAAGUAGCGUGCAGGAUGACGGCCCUAUGGGUUGUAAACUGCUUUUAUAUGGGGAUAAAGUGGGGAACGUGUUCCCUUUUGCAGGUACCAUAUGAAUAAGGAUCGGCUACUUCCGUGCCAGCAGCCGCGGUAAUACGGAAGGUUCGGGCGUUAUCCGGAUUUAUUGGGUUUAAAGGGAGCGUAGGCCGUUUGGUAAGCGUGUUGUGAAAUGUAGGAGCUCAACUUCUAGAUUGCAGCGCGAACUGUCAGACUUGGGUGCGCACAACGUAGGCGGAAUUCAUGGUGUAGCGGUGAAAUGCUUAGAUAUCAUGAAGAACUCCGAUUGCGAAGGCAGCUUACGGGAGCGCAACUAACGCUGAGGAUGGAAGGUGCGGGUAUCGAACAGG